AAUGGAGAGGGGGAAAACAGAGGCUGUAUGCUAUUCUGUUCAUCGCGAAUAGUUCCUGUGCUGUGUGAGAGACAUCUUCAUUCGAGAGAGGAGACGGUUGUCUCUGCAAUUCCCUAGUUCUUCGCUAUGCUUUGAAACGGUGGACUGUCGACUGUCACUUCGUCGCAGGCUCUUAUAAAAUGGGCAAAGCUGGGGAAUCACGCGUCUUCCUGCCGCUUUGAAGACCUCCUCCACUGACAAGCAACUCCACCCAUCUUCACUUAUGGUUUUGGACAAAGCAACUUUUUACUAUUAUGUCACUUGAAGUGUCUUCCAUGGUCUCCCACAAUCUAGCCAUCUCAGUCUCUUCAUCCUCCUCCACUUUCUUAGCUCCCUUAAAUUUCAACUCAAGGCACCCUUUACUAAGGAGUUGGUGUUUAGAGCAUGCAUGAUACCAUUACUUCUCUGUGGAGGACUCAAAAUAUACAAUGUUAUACUUCUUUGCCCUUUAUUCUUCAGCUUGGAGAGCAGAUUGCUAGAAGAAGGGUUGCACCCUUACAGAAGUACCUUGACAUAAAAGUGAUAAGUUUGGGAAUUGGCAUAAUGUUUUAAACGCAUUAAAGCAUAAGGUUCCAUAUGAAGAUGAGAGAAAAAAUAAGUUCAAAUCAAGAAACUUUUGCAAAUUCAACUUAUGCAUACCAUAACUCAAGUCUGCUAUAAGGAAAUGCUGAUCAAGAGAUUUCCCUGAAAGAUUGAAUGAAAUUAUGAUUGUAUUUUAAAAUGUAGUUAUUUGUUUUUUUUGUAUAGGAUAAGAUGUAAUUUAAUAUGGGCAUAAUGUUGUUCUUAAGCCCCCAUGGUAUAUCUUUUGAUAUGGGGUGCCCUAUAGUCUUUAUUUAUCAUUUUGAUCGUACUUAACAAAAAGAUAAACC